GGGUCUGGCCUUUCGGAGGCCCAAGGCCCUGCCCUACAGAAGGACCCUACCCUACCAGCCUCACCCUCACUUUUCCCACUUGCUUCUGUUUCAGAAAAACAGUUGCUCUCAACUUCUCUAAGAGAUCAGAAGGAACUCUGCUAGGGCACACCAUCGUUGCGUCUUCACGUUAGCAAAACUCCCUCUUCUUCCAGUUCAUUCCCGGGGCUGUAGUACUCCUUAGUUCAGAUCAGCUUGCUUGUAGUGCUCAAACGAAGAUGAGAGGGAGGCCCGAGAUGAAUCUGGGAGACGCAGCAGUGCAGCUUAGAUCUUCGCGUCUGGAUGUCUUAGGAGUAGUUUCAUGGCCAUGAGGCCUUUUGUAUCAGUUGCCUUGGUGGCAACCCUUUUGCAAGACUGUUUAACUUUUAGACUUGUGUUGCCUCUAAGUAAUUCCAGAUGACUGUAAUAGUUACCUCUUCUGCGUUUAUGUUCAUCUGAGUGCUUCUCAUUACUAUAA